GGCGCCGGAGCCCGAUGGUCAGGCGGCUGUUUGCAAAACAGUGUCACGAGUGGGUUCGAUUCCCACCGGCGCCU
rnacentral:tRNA from 1 species